rnacentral:rRNA from 1 species
GACGAACGCUGGCGGCGUGCUUAACACAUGCAAGUCGAGCGGUAAGGCCUUUCGGGGUACCCGAGCGGCGAACGGGUGAGUAACACGUGGGUGAUCUGCCCUGCACUUCGGGAUAAGCCUGGGAAACUGGGUCUAAUACCGGAUAUGACCUCCUAUCGCAUGGUGGGUGGUGGAAAGAUUUAUCGGUGCAGGAUGGGCCCGCGGCCUAUCAGCUUGUUGGUGGGGUAAUGGCCUACCAAGGCGACGACGGGUAGCCGACCUGAGAGGGUGACCGGCCACACUGGGACUGAGACACGGCCCAGACUCCUACGGGAGGCAGCAGUGGGGAAUAUUGCACAAUGGGCGAAAGCCUGAUGCAGCGACGCCGCGUGAGGGAUGACGGCCUUCGGGUUGUAAACCUCUUUCAGCAGGGACGAAGCGCAAGUGACGGUACCUGAAGAAGAAGCACCGGCUAACUACGUG